rnacentral:misc_RNA from 1 species
AAGUCGUAACAAGGUUUCCGUAGGUGAACCUGCGGAAGGAUCAUUAAUAAUGAGUUUACACUCAUUACUUGUGCACUGUAAUUGUCUCUGCCGAAAGGCGCUGUUUAACAGAUUAUAUAGUGAUUUAUAUAGCAUUAGUAAAAUACAACUUUUGGCAACGGAUCUCUAGGCUCUU